ACCAGCCUUUUAUCUCUCUUCACUUCUCUGCAAAAGAAAAUUUGCUAUCCUCCAAACACCACGAACUAGAAACUCCAUCGAUUCUAAAACCUCAUCUAUAUCUCUAUAUUCCAUUACAAUUUUAGUUUUCUCUCGCAACUUCUUUCACAGCCGAUCGAAAUCUCUAUCUUUCUCUCGAUUUUUUUCUCAAUGAAAAUCAUUGGGGGUAGAGAUUCUUUUCAAUUGAAUCACGAAGAAACUAGGGUAUAGAUUCUUCUCAAUUGAUUCAUGAAGAAACUAGGGUAUAGAUUCUUCUUAAUUGAGUCAUGAAGAAAUUUAGGGUUCUUCAAAUGAAAUUUAUUUUCCAAGGAGAUUACUCAUUACAACUAUUUUUCUGUGAUUCAUAAGAUUUACUCCUAUGGGUACUGAGAUUAUUAUUAGAUCUACUCGUACUCAAGAUGUUCUUCAGUGUGUCAUUUCUCUCUCAGGGUGUCUUUUGUUUUAAGAUUUUGGGGAUUUUUGUCACUGGAUCUGAUUUUGGAGGUUUUUUUGACUUACGGCAGAAACAUGUUCUUUGUUGCUGUGAAGUGUAUAGAUGAUUAGUUUGUCGACAUAAUUUUGUGUGUAUCUGGCUAAUUAAACUUUUGGGGGUUAUGGCAGAUACGUAAGGUUUUUAUCUCAAUUUUAAUUUCAAUUUGAAUCUCAUUUUUAAUUUUUGAUUCAAAGAAUGUUAAACGGAAAAGUGCUUGUUUUGCUUGAUUUUAAUAGCUCAUUUGCUUUUCUACUUUGAUGCAUGUGCUUGGUUUUGAAGCUGGAAGACCCUACAUAGCCAGGACAAAUACUAUGAUCUGCUGUUUUCAAUGCUUGUACUAUAAUCACUAGAUUUACAAGGAUUGUUGGAGAACUUUUUGGCGUGCUGAUUGCGGUCGUUUUGAUUCAAGAGGCCAUUAAAGGAAUGGUUAGUGAAUUUUCAGUUUCGAAGUCUGGAAAUCCAAAUGAAGAAAGAUAUCAAUUUCAGUGCGUGGCUGUAUACAAAUGGACUGUUGGGACUAAUCUUCACCUUUGGACUUCUCUCUACUUCUUUAAAAAGCAGGAGGGCCAGGUCCUGGCGUUAUGGCACAUGUCUGGAACCGUUUUAAACUCAUCUAACUUUGUACUUCUAUAUAAGAGUAUUUAUAACUUGAAAACAUUUUCGAACUGAUUUGUUAUAACAGAAUUCCUCGGAAGCUUUAUUGUAGACUAUGGGUUCCUUUCAUUGUUGUGGUGUGGACAUCAAUGUCAUAAAGUAUUCUAGGCAAAGUUCCAUAUGGAGUUCCACGAAGGCUUUAUACUCCUCUUCCAUGGAAAUCUGCAUCGUUAUAUCAUUGGACAGUAAUCAAGGUAAUUACUUAGAUCAACGUACAUGCACAAAUUUAAAUUUUUAGUUGUUGUAUAUGGCUGAAAUGUUAUGUCGAAACUGCAGGAUAUGGGAAAAGUCUCUUACAUUUUUGCUGCCAUUAUACCAUAUAUAAUGGUAGCUGCUCUUUACUUUUUCGACCACACUGUUGUUUCUUCAGAUACCAACAGAAGGAAUUCAAUCUAAAAAAGCCAUAUGCUUACCACUAUGACAUUUUGUUGCUUGGUUUUAUGGUAUAAUUAAUUACUAAGAUAUCGAUCAGAUUAGUUCAUUGGUUCAUCCAUAUUGUCAUAACUCUAUUAUCUUACUUUUUCUCAACUUGAGUCCAUGAUUUUAGGUUCUGAUAUGUGGAUUGCUAGGACUUCCUCCUACAAAUGGGGUAUUUCCAAAGUCUCCUAUGCACACAAAGAGCCUCGCUGUUCUUAAGAGAACAGUAGUCAGGAAAAUGGGGCAACCUUAAUGAAGUUCGGGUAUGCAUUGUGUUUUUUGAUGUUCCAUUUUACGGCCUCACUCCUAAUGGUUAAAGAACAGUAUUCAGGAAAAUGGUUCUGUUCAGAACACAUUCGGUUUUGUUUUCUUUAUAUUUUGUUAAUGAGCCUUACCUUUAAUUUUUGGUGUUGUGGAUUCGCUCUUCUACUAAUGACUAUGAGAGCAAUGGUGAAAAAAAAUCAUUUCAUGGGAGUGUUCAAGCCUCGGCAUCUUCUGAUUCUCUUCGUCUAGAAAUUCUUAAUGGUGUUGUGAAGAAAAAAAUUGCACAACAACACUUCUUGCAGCAAUGAAUAAGGUUAGUUUCAGCUAAAUUUAGCAAUAUUUUUUGCACAAGUUAUAUUUCUAGAUCAGACCCCAAUAAGAAUGCUUUGAAAGAUCCAUUUGUCUUCACUGGAAAUGCGAAUGAAGCUCCAUCAAUUUUGACAACUGUUGGAGAUGAUGAGUAUUUGAAUGGAGAAGCUCAGGAACGACGUUCUUUGUCAUAUGUGAACCUGGGACACAACACAUGGAUGCUCUACUUGAUAUCAUUUAUGAAGUAUUGGCUAAGUUCAUCCUCAUUGAAGGAGCUUAUCGGUUUGUUGUUUAUUGUCUAUUAGUUUAGCAUCUUGUUGUUAGAACUUACUAGCUAGCUAGAUUUGACAUGUAUUGUUCUGAAUCAAAAUUUCAUCUUUUUUGUGUAAUUUUAAACCCAAUGGAUAAAAUGAAUGAAUGAAUGUGGAAUUCUCAAGUUUGAGUUUAAAUUUGAA